rnacentral:rRNA from 1 species
UUAAGUUAUUAAGGGCGCACGGUGGAUGCCUUGGCACUAGAAGCCGAUGAAGGACGUUACUAACGACGAUAUGCUUUGGGGAGCUGUAAGUAAGCUUUGAUCCAGAGAUUUCCGAAUGGGGAAACCCAGCAUGAGUUAUGUCAUGUUAUCGAUAUGUGAAUACAUAGCAUAUCAGAAGGCACACCCGGAGAACUGAAACAUCUUAGUACCCGGAGGAAGAGAAAGAAAAUUCGAUUCCCUUAGUAGCGGCGAGCGAAACGGGAAGAGCCCAAACCAACAAGCUUGCUUGUUGGGGUUGUAGGACACUCUAUACGGAGUUACAAAGGACGACAUUAGACGAAUCAUCUGGAAAGAUGAAUCAAAGAAGGUAAUAAUCCUGUAGUCGAAAAUGUUGUCUCUCUUGAGUGGAUCCUGAGUACGACGGAGCACGUGAAAUUCCGUUGGAAUCUGGGAGGACCAUCUCCUAAGGCUAAAUACUCUCUAGUGACCGAUAGUGAACCAGUACCGUGAGGGAAAGGUGAAAAGCACCCCGGAAGGGGAGUGAAAUAGAACCUGAAACCGUGUGCUUACAAGUAGUCAGAGCCCGUUAAUGGGUGAUGGCGUGCCUUUUGUAGAAUGAACCGGCGAGUUACGAUUUGAUGCAAGGUUAAGCAGUAAAUGUGGAGCCGUAGCGAAAGCGAGUCUGAAUAGGGCGUUUAGUAUUUGGUCGUAGACCCGAAACCAGGUGAUCUACCCUUGGUCAGGUUGAAGUUCAGGUAACACUGAAUGGAGGACCGAACCGACUUACGUUGAAAAGUGAGCGGAUGAACUGAGGGUAGCGGAGAAAUUCCAAUCGAACCUGGAGAUAGCUGGUUCUCUCCGAAAUAGCUUUAGGGCUAGCCUCAAGUGAUGAUUAUUGGAGGUAGAGCACUGUUUGGACGAGGGGCCCCUCUCGGGUUACCGAAUUCAGACAAACUCCGAAUGCCAAUUAAUUUAACUUGGGAGUCAGAACAUGGGUGAUAAGGUCCGUGUUCGAAAGGGAAACAGCCCAGACCACCAGCUAAGGUCCCAAAAUAUAUGUUAAGUGGAAAAGGAUGUGGCGUUGCCCAGACAACUAGGAUGUUGGCUUAGAAGCAGCCAUCAUUUAAAGAGUGCGUAAUAGCUCACUAGUCGAGUGACACUGCGCCGAAAAUGUACCGGGGCUAAACAUAUUACCGAAGCUGUGGAUUGUCCUUUGGACAAUGGUAGGAGAGCGUUCUAAGGGCGUUGAAGCAUGAUCGUAAGGACAUGUGGAGCGCUUAGAAGUGAGAAUGCCGGUGUGAGUAGCGAAAGACGGGUGAGAAUCCCGUCCACCGAUUGACUAAGGUUUCCAGAGGAAGGCUCGUCCGCUCUGGGUUAGUCGGGUCCUAAGCUGAGGCCGACAGGCGUAGGCGAUGGAUAACAGGUUGAUAUUCCUGUACCACCUAUAAUCGUUUUAAUCGAUGGGGGGACGCAGUAGGAUAGGCGAAGCGUGCGAUUGGAUUGCACGUCUAAGCAGUAAGGCUGAGUAUUAGGCAAAUCCGGUACUCAUUAAGGCUGAGCUGUGAUGGGGAGAAGACAUUGUGUCUUCGAGUCGUUGAUUUCACACUGCCGAGAAAAGCCUCUAGAUAGAAAAUAGGUGCCCGUACCGCAAACCGACACAGGUAGUCAAGAUGAGAAUUCUAAGGUGAGCGAGCGAACUCUCGUUAAGGAACUCGGCAAAAUGACCCCGUAACUUCGGGAGAAGGGGUGCUCUUUAGGGUUAACGCCCAGAAGAGCCGCAGUGAAUAGGCCCAAGCGACUGUUUAUCAAAAACACAGGUCUCUGCUAAACCGUAAGGUGAUGUAUAGGGGCUGACGCCUGCCCGGUGCUGGAAGGUUAAGAGGAGUGGUUAGCUUCUGCGAAGCUACGAAUCGAAGCCCCAGUAAACGGCGGCCGUAACUAUAACGGUCCUAAGGUAGCGAAAUUCCUUGUCGGGUAAGUUCCGACCCGCACGAAAGGCGUAACGAUUUGGGCACUGUCUCAACGAGAGACUCGGUGAAAUCAUAGUACCUGUGAAGAUGCAGGUUACCCGCGACAGGACGGAAAGACCCCGUGGAGCUUUACUGUAGCCUGAUAUUGAAAUUCGGCACAGCUUGUACAGGAUAGGUAGGAGCCUUUGAAACGUGAGCGCUAGCUUACGUGGAGGCGCUGGUGGGAUACUACCCUAGCUGUGUUGGCUUUCUAACCCGCACCACUUAUCGUGGUGGGAGACAGUGUCAGGCGGGCAGUUUGACUGGGGCGGUCGCCUCCUAAAAGGUAACGGAGGCGCUCAAAGGUUCCCUCAGAAUGGUUGGAAAUCAUUCAUAGAGUGUAAAGGCAUAAGGGAGCUUGACUGCGAGACCUACAAGUCGAGCAGGGUCGAAAGACGGACUUAGUGAUCCGGUGGUUCCGUAUGGAAGGGCCAUCGCUCAACGGAUAAAAGCUACCCCGGGGAUAACAGGCUUAUCUCCCCCAAGAGUUCACAUCGACGGGGAGGUUUGGCACCUCGAUGUCGGCUCAUCGCAUCCUGGGGCUGUAGUCGGUCCCAAGGGUUGGGCUGUUCGCCCAUUAAAGCGGUACGCGAGCUGGGUUCAGAACGUCGUG